rnacentral:rRNA from 1 species
GAUCCUGGCUCAGGAUGAACGCUGGCGGCGUGCCUAACACAUGCAAGUCGAACGAGCAUGUGCAUGAAACCUAGUGAUUGCGCAUGCGAGUGGCGGACGGGUGAGUAACGCGUGGACAACCUGCCGCAUGCAGGGGGAUACCGGCUGGAAACAGCCGCUAAUACCGCAUAUGCGCACAGCGCCGCAUGGCGCAGUGCGGAAAGGGAGCAAUCCCGGCAUGCGAUGGGUCCGCGUCCGAUUAGCUUGUUGGCGGGGCAGCGGCCCACCAAGGCAACGAUCGGUAGCCGGCCUGAGAGGGCGGACGGCCACAUUGGGACUGAGACACGGCCCAGACUCCUACGGGAGGCAGCAGUGGGGGAUAUUGCACAAUGGGGGGAACCCUGAUGCAGCGACGCCGCGUGGGUGAAGGAGUGCUUCGGCAUGUAAAGCCCUAUCGGCAGGGAAGAAGCAAGACGGUACCUGACUAAGAAGCCCCGGCUAACUACGUGCCAGCAGCCGCG